UCCGGCUUAUCACCGGCGGUUUCUUUAGAGUGCCCAACUAAAUGAUGGCAACUAAAGACGAGGGUUGCGCUCGUUGCGGGACUUAACCCAACAUCUCACGGCACGAGCUGACGACAGCCAUGCAGCACCUGAACCGGCGGUCCCCGAAGGGAAAGUCCUAUUUCUAGGAUGGUCCACCGUUGUCUAGCCCAGGUAAGGUUCUUCGCGUUGCGUCGAAUUGAACCACAUGCUCCACCGCUUGUGCGGGCCCCCGUCAAUUCCUUUGAGUUUUAAUCUUGCGACCGUACUCCCCAGGCGGGGCACUUAACGCGUUAGCUUCGAUACUGAGAGCCAAGUUGCUCCCAACAUCCAGUUCGCAUCGUUUAGGACGUGGACUAC
rnacentral:misc_RNA from 1 species